rnacentral:rRNA from 1 species
GGAGGGCAAGUCUGGUGCCAGCAGCCGCGGUAAUUCCAGCUCCAAUAGCGUAUAUUAAAGUUGUUGCAGUUAAAAAGCUCGUAGUUGAAUUUCGGGGUUCUACCGUUGGUCGGGCUUUGUCUGUACUGGUGUGUAGAAUUUCUACCUUCUGGGGAACCAUCAUGCUAUUAAUUUAGCGUGGUGGGAAACCAGGACCUUUACCUUGAAAAAAUUAGUGUGUUCAAAGCAGGCUUAUGUCUGAAUACAUUAGCGUGGAAUAAUAGAAUAGGACGGUGGUCCUGUUUUGUUGGUUUCUGAAUCACCGUAAUGAUUAAUAGGGAUAGUUGGGGGCAUUAGUAUUCAAUUGUCAGAGGUGAAAUUCUUGGAUUUAUUGAAGACUAACUUCUGCGAAAGCAUUUGCCAAGGAUGUUUUCAUUAAUCAAGAACGAAAGUUAGGGGAUCGAAGACGAUCAGAUACCGUCGUAGUCUUAACCAUAAACUAUGCCGACUAGGGAUCGGACGAUGUUAAUUUUUCUUGACUCGUUCGGCGCCUUACGGGAAAC